rnacentral:rRNA from 1 species
AGCGAACGCUGGCGGCAGGCCUAACACAUGCAAGUCGAACGAACCUUUCGGGGUUAGUGGCGGACGGGUGUGUAACACGUGGGAACGUGCCUUUAGGUUCGGAAUAACUCAGGGAAACUUGUGCUAAUACCGAAUGUGCCCUCCGGGGGAAAGAUUUAUCGCCUUUAGAGCGGCCCGCGUCUGAUUAGCUAGUUGGUUGAGGUAAUGGCUCACCAAGGCGACGAUCAGUAGCUGGUCUGAGAGGAUGAUCAGCCACAUUGGGACUGAGACACGGCCCAAACUCCUACGGGAGGCAGCAGUGGGGAAUCUUGCGCAAUGGGCGAAAGCCUGACGCAGCCAUGCCGCGUGAAUGAUGAAGGUCUUAGGAUUGUAAAAUUCUUUCAACGGGGACGAUAAUGACGGUACCCGGAGAAGAAGCCCCGGCUAACUUCGUG